GAUGAACGCUGGCGGCGUGCCUAAUACAUGCAAGUCGAGCGAACGGACGAGAAGCUUGCUUCUCUGAUGUUAGCGGCGGACGGGUGAGUAACACGUGGAUAACCUACCUAUAAGACUGGGAUAACUUCGGGAAACCGGAGCUAAUACCGGAUAAUAUUUUGAACCGCAUGGUUCAAAAGUGAAAGACGGUCUUGCUGUCACUUAUAGAUGGAUCCGCGCUGCAUUAGCUAGUUGGUAAGGUAACGGCUUACCAAGGCAACGAUGCAUAGCCGACCUGAGAGGGUGAUCGGCCACACUGGAACUGAGACACGGUCCAGACUCCUACGGGAGGCAGCAGUAGGGAAUCUUCCGCAAUGGGCGAAAGCCUGACGGAGCAACGCCGCGUGAGUGAUGAAGGUCUUCGGAUCGUAAAACUCUGUUAUUAGGGAAGAACUUAUGUGUAAGUAACUGUGCACAUCUUGACGGUACCUAAUCAGAAAGCCACGGCUAACUACGUG
rnacentral:rRNA from 1 species